CGCGUGCCUCCGCGGCAGCGCGCAGGCGUCGCCGCCACGCUGCCGGCGGAACCGGCCGAAGACGCCCGAAGCGCCGCAUCGGUGUGAGCCGAUCGAGCGGCCGUUAGUCUGUGUGCGUGCGGCUGUGUUCGCUGCGUCCUUUUCUCGUGCGAAGGAGAGAGAAAGAGAGAGAAAGAGGAGGCUCGUUUUCUCGUCUCGCGCGCCGCUACUGGCCUGCUCGGCCUGUAGCACUUUUGGCUUCUCUCUCUCUCGCUAAGGAGAGAGAGAGAGAGCGAGAGGCAACGAUGUGUUGUGUUACGGUGUGUUAAUGCAUCUUUUCCAACGAGGUGCAGGCAGCCGGCCAAGGUGGAACGAGGGAGAGAGUCGAGGCAGUGCUCUUUCUUCUUAUUCUUCGCGUUUUUGGGUUUAUGGAUGCUGAUGCCCGGCUGUAUAACAUAUAUGCGUGGGGAGGAAAACGCAUUGUGAAUUUUCUCGAAGGAUCAGGAACGGCCGCGCGUUGACAGUUGGCGGAAUGCCAUUAGAGCGAUACAGCGAGGGAAGUGCCGGUCUUAUUACGAUGGAGAGAUGAGAACGAACUUUAUUGUGAGGAAGGAGCUGCAUUGUUGGUUAGUUGUGCUGAACGGAGAGUCUUUUGCAUCUACGGCAACGGCGUCUUGAAGAUCAGCCUGAAGGAACUGCGAAAGCGCUAAGUGAGAAAUACUUAAUCGCGCAUCGCCAAACAUUGAGAAAGUGUCUAUACGGACAGAUCAUUGACGAGUCAGAUCUGCAAACUCCCAGGCGAUUGCGAUGCUCUCCAAACUUCGGCGCACCGCAAUAUCGCGCCCUGAAUUUUUGUAUAAACAACAGCCUCCGCCUAUUGUAUAGUUAUAUACAGACGAGUGGAGAAACGGCCUUAAAGGUAUGCGCAGACCCGAGUGGUUUAGUGGUUUUGCUUCUGUCUUGCUCUAGGGUGGCUCGCUCUGCAUACCUCCGUCCUCCUCUCUCGCUCUUCUCUCGUUCUCUCGACUUCGGUCCGCGUGUUGCAUUCAUGAAUGCGUUGUGGAGAUGUGUGAGAGAUUAUACACGAGAGGAGGACGCGCCGCGCGGCAUAUACGAAUAUUACUAUCAAGUACUGCUGCUCCGCUGCGCUGUUGCUGCAGCGUGCGCCUGAGAGUGAGUGCUACAGCUCAUCCCACUUGGUAUUUGUUAUGAAACUUUAUUGCCUGGCAAAGUGACUUCGUUUUUCCAGUCUUAUUAGAUUACGGAGACUUAUAUGAUUACAGUUUGAGAAAGAGCUUCUGACGUUUGUUUUGAUUAAAAUUGCAGGAUGCGUGUUAAUAUAGGUAUUAUUAUUUAUUGACCCUAUUGUAUAGGUUAUGACCUGUCCGUAAGUGUUGAACGCCGUUCCAGUCAAGUUAGAGAAUUAUUAGUGGACAGUGUUAUUUUAUUCAAGCUAUAUUUAAAUUGAUAAGAUUCUUAUAAACGUU